rnacentral:lncRNA from 1 species
CGCAGGGGACGGAGGACUCACAGGCCGGGCGCUGCGCGGGCUACACGGACGCCUUCCGCUCAGCGCCCUCGCGCCCCAUCCCUCCCCGCUCCCAAGAGAGGCCCAGCCGCGCCGCUAACAGCACCCUCACCGCCCUGCUCCCCGGCUCGCACUGGCGGCGCGUACCAACUCCUCCACCCGGAGUGUUUGGAAAUCAUUCAGGAUCUUGGAGUGAAGUGAACAAGAUGGGGGAGAACCCUACUCUCUUUCUAGGUACAUUUUGUAUGAAAUGA